rnacentral:rRNA from 1 species
UUUUUUUUUUUUUUUCAGGACGAACGCUGGCGGCGUGCUUAAUACAUGCAAGUCGAGCGGACAGAAGGGAGCUUGCUCCCGGAUGUUAGCGGCGGACGGGUGAGUAACACGUGGGUAACCUGCCUGUAAGACUGGGAUAACUCCGGGAAACCGGAGCUAAUACCGGAUAGUUCCUUGAACCGCAUGGUUCAAGGAUGAAAGACGGUUUCGGCUGUCACUUACAGAUGGACCCGCGGCGCAUUAGCUAGUUGGUGGGGUAAUGGCUCACCAAGGCGACGAUGCGUAGCCGACCUGAGAGGGUGAUCGGCCACACUGGGACUGAGACACGGCCCAGACUCCUACGGGAGGCAGCAGUAGGGAAUCUUCCGCAAUGGACGAAAGUCUGACGGAGCAACGCCGCGUGAGUGAUGAAGGUUUUCGGAUCGUAAAGCUCUGUUGUUAGGGAAGAACAAGUGCGAGAGUAACUGCUCGCACCUUGACGGUACCUAACCAGAAAGCCACGGCUAACUACGUGCCAGCAGCCGCGGUAAUACGUAGGUGGCAAGCGUUGUCCGGAAUUAUUGGGCGUAAAGGGCUCGCAGGCGGUUUCUUAAGUCUGAUGUGAAAGCCCCCGGCUCAACCGGGGAGGGUCAUUGGAAACUGGGAAACUUGAGUGCAGAAGAGGAGAGUGGAAUUCCACGUGUAGCGGUGAAAUGCGUAGAGAUGUGGAGGAACACCAGUGGCGAAGGCGACUCUCUGGUCUGUAACUGACGCUGAGGAGCGAAAGCGUGGGGAGCGAACAGG